rnacentral:rRNA from 1 species
GACGAACGCUGGCGGCGUGCUUAACACAUGCAAGUCGAACGGUAAGGCCCUUCGGGGUACACGAGUGGCGAACGGGUGAGUAACACGUGGGUGAUCUGCCCUGCACUUCGGGAUAAGCCUGGGAAACUGGGUCUAAUACCGGAUAGGACCACUGCCUGCAUGGGGGGUGGUGGAAAGCUCUUGCGGUGUGGGAUGGGCCCGCGGCCUGUCAGCUUGUUGGUGGGGUGAUGGCCUACCAAGGCGACGACGGGUAGCCGGCCUGAGAGGGUGACCGGCCACACUGGGACUGAGAUACGGCCCAAACUCCUACGGGAGGCAGCAGUGGGGAAUAUUGCACAAUGGGCGCAAGCCUGAUGCAGCGACGCCGCGUGAGGGAUGACGGCCUUCGGGUUGUAAACCUCUCUCAGCACCGACGAAGCGCAAGUGACGGUAGGUGCAGAAGAAGGACCGGCCAACUACGUGCCAGCAGCCGCAGUAA